GACGAACGCUGGCGGCGUGCUUAACACAUGCAAGUCGAGCGGUAAGGCCCUUUCGGGGGUACGACGAGCGGCGAACGGGUGAGUAACACGUGGGUGACCUGCCCUCAGCUCUGGGAUAAGCCUGGGAAACUGGGUCUAAUACUGGAUAUGACUCCACGGUGCAUGUCGUGGGGUGGAAAGCCUUGUGCGGCUGAGGAUGGGCCCGCGGCCUAUCAGCUUGUUGGUGGGGUGAUGGCCUACCAAGGCGACGACGGGUAGCCGGCCUGAGAGGGCGACCGGCCACACUGGGACUGAGACACGGCCCAGACUCCUACGGGAGGCAGCAGUGGGGAAUAUUGGACAAUGGGCGAAAGCCUGAUCCAGCCAUGCCGCGUGAGUGAAGAAGGCCUUAGGGUUGUAAAGCUCUUUCAGCGGGGAAGAUAAUGACGGUACCCGCAGAGAAGCCCCGGCUAACUUCGUGCCAGCCGCCGCGGUAAC
rnacentral:rRNA from 1 species